GAGUUUGAUCCUGGCUCAGGAUGAACGCUAGCGGCAGGCUUAACACAUGCAAGUCGAGGGGUAACAGAGGGUGCUUGCACCUUGCUGACGACCGGCGCACGGGUGCGUAACGCGUAUGCAACCUACCUUGUACAGAGGGAUAGCCACUGGAAACGGUGAUUAAUACCUCAUAAAACUAUAGCAUCGCAUGGUGCAAUAGUCAAAACUCAGGUGGUACAAGAUGGACCCGCGUCUGAUUAGCUAGUUGGUGGGGUAAAGGCCUACCAAGGCGACGAUCAGUAGCCGACCUGGGAGGGUGAUCGGCCACACUGGAACUGAGACACGGUCCAGACUCCUACGGGAGGCAGCAGUGGGGAAUAUUGCACAAUGGGCGAAAGCCUGAUGCAGCAACGCCGCGUGAGUGAAGAAGGCCUUCGGGUCGUAAAACUCUGUCCUAAGGGAAGAAUAAUGACGGUACCUUAGGAGGAAGCCCCGGCUAACUACGUGCCAGCAGCCGCGGUAAUACGUAGGGGGCAAGCGUUAUCC
rnacentral:rRNA from 1 species